UACGGGGGGGGCAAGCGUUGUUCGGAAUUACUGGGCGUAAAGGGCCAGUAGGCGGCCGGCUAAGUCCGACGUGAAAUCCCCAGGCUUAACCUGGGAACUGCGUCGGAUACUGGCUGGCUUGAAUUCGGGAGAGGGAUGCAGAAUUCCAGGUGUAGCGGUGAAAUGCGUAGAUAUCUGGAGGAAUACCGGUGGCGAAGGCGGCAUCCUGGACCGACAUUGACGCUGAACGGCGAAAGCUAGGGGAGCAAACGGG
rnacentral:rRNA from 2 species